rnacentral:rRNA from 1 species
GACGUAGGGGGCCAGCGUUGUUCGGAAUUACUGGGUGUAAAGGGUUCGUAGGCGGUGUGGCAAGUCGGGAGUGAAAUCUCUGGGCUCAACUCAGAGACUGCUUCCGAAACUGCUGUGCUGGAGUGUGGGAGAGGCGCGUGGAAUUGCAGGUGUAGCGGUGAAAUGCGUAGAUAUCGGAAGGAACACCUGUGGCGAAAGCGGCUCACUGGACCAUUACUGACGCUGAUGCACGAAAGCUAGGGGAGCAAACAGG